rnacentral:rRNA from 1 species
GCGCACCAGUCGCGAAUAGUCUACAAUGGACGAAAGUCUGAUAGUGCGACGCCGUGUGUGCGAUUAAUUCCUUCGGGAUGUAAAGCACUUUUCUAUGAGAUAAAAGCUCUUUAGGUUAAUAGCUUAUUGAGACGGAUAUUAUUAUAGGAAUAAGCUCCGGCUAACUCCGUGCCAGCAGCCGCGGUAAUACGGAAGGAGCGAGCGUUGUCCGGAUUUACUAGGCGUAAAGGGCUAGUAGGCGACUAAUUAAGUUAUAUGUUAAAUCCCACGGCUCAACUGUGGUCCUGCAUGUAAUACUGGUUAGAUAGAGUACUGUAGAGGAAGGCAGAAUUCCUGGAGUAGCGGUGGAAUGCGCAGAUAUCAGGAAGAAUACCAAAAGCGAAGGCAGCCUUCUGGGCAGUUACUGACGCUGAAUAGCGAAGGUGUGGGUAGCGAACAGGAUUAGAUACCCGUGUAGU